rnacentral:rRNA from 1 species
AGCGGAGGAAAAGAAACCAACAGGGAUUGCCUCAGUAACGGCGAGUGAAGCGGCAACAGCUCAAAUUUGAAAUCUGGCUCCCUCGGUGCCCGAGUUGUAAUUUGUAGAGGGUGCCUCGGCGUCGGCCCGGGCCUAAGUUCCUUGGAACAGGACGUCACAGAGGGUGAGAAUCCCGUACGUGGCCCCCGGCCUUCACCAAGUGAGGCCCCUUCGACGAGUCGAGUUGUUUGGGAAUGCAGCUCUAAAUGGGAGGUAAAUUUCUUCUAAAGCUAAAUACCGGCCAGAGACCGAUAGCGCACAAGUAGAGUGAUCGAAAGAUGAAAAGCACUUUGGAAAGAGAGUCAAAAAGCACGUGAAAUUGUUGAAAGGGAAGCGCUUGCAGCCAGACUUGCCCGCAGUUGCUCACCCAGGCUUACGCCUGGUGCACUCUUCUGCGGGCAGGCCAGCAUCGGUUCGGGCGGUCGGAUAAAGGCCCCGGGAAUGUGGCCCCUCUCGGGGGGUGUUAUAGCCCGGGGUGCAAUGCGGCCAGCCCGGACCGAGGACCGCGCUCCGGCUAGGAUGCUGGCGUAAUGGCCGCAAGCGGCCCGUCUUGAAACACGGACCAAGGAGUCUAACAUCUAUGCGAGUGUUUGGGUGUCAAGCCCGGGCGCGCAAUGAAAGUGAACGGAGGUGGGAACCCCUCGGGGCGCACCAUCGACCGAUCCUGAUGUCUUCGGAAGGAUUUGAGUAAGAGCAUAGCUGUUGGGACCCGAAAGAUGGUGAACUAUGCCUGAAUAGGGUGAAGCCAGAGGAAACUCUGGUGGAGGCUCGCAGCGGUUCUGACGUGCAAAUCGAUCGUCAAAUUUGGGCAUAGGGGCGAAAGACUAAUCG